rnacentral:rRNA from 1 species
AGUGAACGCUGGCGGUAGGCCUAACACAUGCAAGUCGAACGGCAGCACAGUAAGAGCUUGCUCUUACGGGUGGCGAGUGACGGACGGGUGAGGAAUACAUCGGAAUCUACUUUUUCGUGGGGGAUAACGUAGGGAAACUUACGCUAAUACCGCAUACGACCUACGGGUGAAAGCAGGGGAUCUUCGGACCUUGCGCGAUUGAAUGAGCCGAUGUCGGAUUAGCUAGUUGGCGGGGUAAAGGCCCACCAAGGCGACGAUCCGUAGCUGGUCUGAGAGGAUGAUCAGCCACACUGGAACUGAGAAACGGUCCAGACUCCUACGGGAGGCAGCAGUGGGGAAUAUUGGACAAUGGGCGCAAGCCUGAUCCAGCCAUACCGCGUGGGUGAAGAAGGCCUUCGGGUUGUAAAGCCCUUUUGUUGGGAAAGAAAAGCAGCAGGUUAAUACCCCGCUGUUCUGACGGUACCCAAAGAAUAAGCACCGGCUAACUUCGUG